CACCCCCCGCCUGUCUCACUGACUCCCCCCCCCUCCCCCCCGCUGCCGCUUUCUCCUCCUCUUCUUUCUGCAGCCCAUUCCCCACGGCUGGGCCCGGCCUGACCCACCUUCCAAGCCGCUCCCGCCUGACCCGCUUCCUAAGGAAUCCCAGGUAACGUCCUUGGGCCCUGGCGGGCGCGGAUGGGGGCCCAGGGCAGCGGCUGCUGUAACCCCCCACCGAGGCCCCUGCAUGCCUGUCACUGCAUGGACUCACCAGGGGCACUGAGCUCUGCCCGGCUGACACGGGCUCUGCCCCCACGGGGCUGGACUCCAGGGCUUGGUUCGGCCUCCUGUCCCGUGCGCUGGGGGGUGAUGGGGUCAGAGCAGCAGUGAGGGCAGGGCCUGAGCGUGAAACCCGUAAGUCUCUCUUCCCCAGCCCCGAUGUGGGGGCAGGGCGUAGCCCCGUGGGCCAUGCACCCCUGUGCCGGGCUGUGGGGUCCUGGGUGCAGCCAUGGGAUGGAGCCUUUGCCCCAAGCUCUCCCCCAAGCCUGACAGGCACACCUCAGCCCAGGGGCCCAGCACGCCUUGCCCAGGGUCUCACGCCUGGCCGCUGGAGGUGCGCUGGGCCGGCAGCUCCCCACAGGCCCACUGGCAUUUGCACCCAGGCUGGGAGAUUUUAGCCCCAUCCCAUUGGCAUUGGGCUCCCCGCGGUGCAGCCUUGGCCCCGUUCUGUCCCUGGAGCCCCCAGUCCGGUGCUGGGCUCCCAUCUCCCCCCGGCUGAGGCAGGCAGGACCUGCCUCUUCCCCAGGGGUCUGUGCGGACCCCAGCAGCUGCCAGCGUGGGGCGCUGUGUCGCUGUUUCAUUGUCCCUGCUCUCUCUGCCCAGGCCUUGCUGCGGGACAGGCCGCCCCCCCCCACGCGCCCACUGCCUGCAGACCCUGUGCUGAAAGGCACUCAGGUAACCGCGCCACGCGGGGUGAUGCUGGCGGUGGCACGGAUCUGUGUGUGGGGAGGGAUGUCUGGCUGUGGGGGCCAGGCUGCCUGUGUGGGGUGGGGGGGAUCGACCUCGUCUCCCCCCAAGGGAUGUGCAGGGCACAGCUGGCGGGGGGGGAGCAGUGGGUGCUGCGUGAGCUCCCUCGCCUUGCACGGGGCCCCGGGACAUGAGCCCUCCUCAGUAACUCGCCCUGACGUUUCUCCGCAGCCACCAGGCCCUGCCCGGCUGCCUCUGCCCAAGAGGCUGCUGCCCUCGGAUCCCACCGGGCCCCUCGUCUCCGGGUCUGAGCUGUCCUCGGUGCACUCCUACGGCCCCCACGUCAUGGUGCUGCCCUCCAGGCCAGCUCCCCCGCCCCCCGCUGGGCAUC
rnacentral:lncRNA from 1 species